GUGGGGAAUUUUGGACAAUGGGCGCAAGCCUGAUCCAGCAAUGCCGCGUGCAGGAAGAAGGCCUUCGGGUUGUAAACUGCUUUUGUACGGAACGAAAAGGCUCUGGUUAAUACCUGGGGCUCAUGACGGUACCGUAAGAAUAAGCACCGGCUAACUACGUGCCAGCAGUCGCGGUAAUACGUAGGGUGCAAGCGUUAAUCGGAAUUACUGGGCGUACAGCGUGCGCAGGCGGUUUUGUAAGACAGAGGUGAAAUCCCCGGGCUCAACCUGGGAAUGGCCUUUGUGACUGCAAGGCUGGAGUGCGGCAGAGGGGGAUGGAAUUCCGCGUGUAGCAGUGAAAUGCGUAGAUAUGCGGAGGAACACCGAUGGCGAAGGCAAUCCCCUGGGCCUGCACUGACGCUCAUGCACGAAAGCGUGGGGAGCAAACAGGAUUAGAAACCCUAGUAGUCC
rnacentral:rRNA from 1 species